AUUAAGGUAGCAAAGCCAGGGCCAUGCAAAAGGCUUAAAACCUCAACACAGAUGUUCAAAUCAUCUCCUUAAUA
rnacentral:tRNA from 1 species